rnacentral:rRNA from 1 species
UACAGAAGUCUCAAGCGUUGUUCGGAUUCAUUGGGCGUAAAGGGUGCGUAGGUGGCGAGGUAAGUUUGAUGUGAAAUCUCCGGGCUUAACCCGGAAAUGGCAUUGAAUACUCUCUCGCUAGAGGGUUGGAGGGGGGACUGGAAUUCUCGGUGUAGCAGUGAAAUGCGUAGAUAUCGAGAGGAACACCAGUGGCGAAGGCGAGUCCCUGGACAACUCCUGACACUGAGGCACGAAAGCUAGGGGAGCAAACAGG